rnacentral:lncRNA from 12 species
GUGGCUCAGUGGUUUAGCGCUGCCUUCAGCCCAGGGCGUGAUCCUGGAGACCCAGGAUCGAGUCCCACAUCGGGUUCCCUGCGUGGAGCCUGCUUCUCCCUCUGCCUGUGUCUCUGCCUCUCUCUCUCACUCUGUGUCUCUCAUGAAUAAAUAAAUAAAUAAAUCUUUAUUAAAAAAAAAAAAGAAAUAGGCAGUUCUGCAUUCAAACAUCAGCUCUCAUCUCAGCUUCUUAGAGCCUCCACUGUCCCUUCCUCAAGCUGGGGGUGAUACUGCCCACCUACCUCGAGGGCAGGGGUGACGAUUUAGUGUCUAGCUCAUACUGAGUGCCCGCCUUAAAGAUAGAACUACUCAUAAUCAGAUAUUUAAUAGAUCUUUUCUCAUUUCUUCACUCACUGUACCCCAGACUUUUCAAUAGGAAAUCACACGGGAGGCAGAUAAACGUAGAACUUGAAAGCACUGGCCCUAAACUCCUCUCUGUUUCCUUGCUGUGUGGCCCUGGGCAAGUGACAGCCUCCCUCCGACGACUUCAUUUCCUCAUCUAUGAACUUGAAACAAUAGGAACCCAGCUCCCCCAAGUCUUGUGAGGAGAUUAAGUGAGAUCAUGUAUGUUAAGCACUUGGCACAGGGCUUGGCACUAAUGUUAGCGGUUAUAUUACUGUUACAGCCAAUGCCCUUAUUUUUGUGGCUGAGCAAGAAGCAGAGGGCAACUGCUUUGAGCAACCGUUGAGUGCUGAGGAAAAUCCUCACUUCCUUUUCACUUCUUAACCUUGCCCAGUCCCCGGCAUUGCCCAGGGGGCAGUUGGAAUGACCUGCUUCGUGUUCCAAACCUUUGCCUUGCGCACAUCUUACUCCAUGCGGCCCUUCUGCAGCGCGCUGACCGUGUUCGGUCCCCCUCCUUCUGAUUUGUAGGACAUCAGGAGGAAAACACUGUGCGAUGCUUAGGUCUCUUCUCCCUGCAGGGCUGCCUGCCUUACUUGCUGUGGCUUCACGCCAUGCCGGGCAAGGAUCACACCUUGUCUUGUCCAGAGAGCAAGGGAGUGUUACUAGCUUCGUGUUUGAAAAGAUGUCAAGAAGAAACUAAGAAAGUGUAGAAGACUCAGAAAAACCCCCACUGGGGAGGCUGCCUUUUACUAACACCAACUCAGUAAACACCAGUUUGUACACCAUUCCGUUUAAACUUGACAAUGGCCCCAAGGUAAGUAUUUUUACUCCAUUUUACAAGGAGGAAAUGAAAGCUAAAAGAGGUUGGUAACAUUGCCGGUUGCACAGCUAGGACAGAGCACAGCAGUAGUAAAUACCACUUACUGAGUAGCUGCGUUGCCUGUCUUUACUCAUUAAAUGUUCUCAACAACACUGUGAGAUGGAAGCCAUUCUUCUCCCCACUUUACAACUGAGGAACUGAGGCAGCAUGGAUAACUUCCUCGGCCAAAGCGCACACGCACAAAGUAGCAGAGCUGUGGUUGGAGUAUAGCCUGGUUGACCACCCGCCCACGGCCCAACCGCAGCACACAGCCCCUG